rnacentral:rRNA from 1 species
CAAUAGCGUAUAUUUAAGUUGUUGCAGUUAAAAAGCUCGUAGUUGGAUUUCGGGUAGGAUUUGCCGGUCCGUCUUUGAGAUGUGUACUGGUAAGUCCUAUCUUCUUGUCGGGGACCAGCUCCUGGGCUUCACUGUCCGGGACUGGGAGCCGACGAAGUUACUUUGAGUAAAUUAGAGUGUUCAAAGCAAGCCUACGCUCUGAAUAUAUUAGCAUGGAAUAACACGAUAGGACUCUGGCUUAUCUUGUUGGUCUGUGAGACCAGAGUAAUGAUUAAGAGGGACAGUCGGGGACAUUCGUAUUUCAUUGUCGGAGGUGAAAUUCUUGGAUUUAUGAAAGACGAACUUCUGCGAAAGCAUUUGUCAAGGAUGUUUNCAUUA